rnacentral:rRNA from 1 species
CACGUAGGGCGCAAGCGUUGUCCGGAAUUAUUGGGCGUAAAGAGCUCGUAGGCGGUCUGUUGCGUCCGCUGUGAAAACUCGGGGCUUAACCCCGAGCCUGCAGUGGAUACGGGCAGACUAGAGGUAGGUAGGGGAGAAUGGAAUUCCCGGUGUAGCGGUGAAAUGCGCAGAUAUCAGGAGGAACACCGGUGGCGAAGGCGGGUCUCUGGGCCGAUACUGACGUGAGGAGCGAAAGCGUGGGGAGCGAACAGG